AACGUAGGAGGCGAGCGUUAUCCGGAUUUACUGGGCGUAAAGCGCGUGCAGGUGGUUUGGAAAGUUGGAUGUGAAAGCUCCCGGCUUAACUGGGAGAGGUCGUUCAAUACUUCUGAACUAGAGGAUGGGAGAGGGAGGUGGAAUUCCGUGUGUAGUGGUGAAAUGCGUAGAUAUACGGAGGAACACCAGUGGCGAAAGCGGCCUCCUGGCCCAUUUCUGACACUCAGACGCGAAAGCUAGGGUAGCAAACGGG
rnacentral:rRNA from 1 species